UACAGAGGUCCCGAGCGUUGUUCGGAUUCAUUGGGCGUAAAGGGUGCGUAGGCGGCGGGGUAAGUCUGAUGUGAAAUCCUGGGGCUCAACCCCAGAACUGCAUUGGAUACUGCCUUGCUAGAGUACUGGAGAGGAAACUGGAAUUUACGGUGUAGCAGUGAAAUGCGUAGAGAUCGUAAGGAAGACCAGUGGCGAAGGCGGAUCUCUGGGCCGUACCUGACGCUCAGGCGCGAAAGCUAGGGGAGCGAACAGG
rnacentral:rRNA from 1 species